rnacentral:rRNA from 1 species
AUUGAACGCUGGCGGCAGGCCUAACACAUGCAAGUCGAGCGGAUGAAGGGAGCUUGCUCCUGGAUUCAGCGGCGGACGGGUGAGUAAUGCCUAGGAAUCUGCCUGGUAGUGGGGGAUAACGUCCGGAAACGGGCGCUAAUCCCGUAUACGUCCUGAGGGAGAAAGUGGGGGUUCUUCGGACCUCACGCUAUCAGAUGAGCCUAGGUCGGAUUAGCUAGUUGGUGGGGUAAAGGCCUACCAAGGCGACGAUCCGUAACUGGUCUGAGAGGAUGAUCAGUCACACUGGAACUGAGACACGGUCCAGACUCCUACGGGAGGCAGCAGUGGGGAAUAUUGGACAAUGGGCGAAAGCCUGAUCCAGCAAUGCCGCGUGUGUGAAGAAGGUCUUCGGAUUGUAAAGCACUUUAAGUUGGGAGGAAGGGCAGUAAGUUAAUACCUUGCUGUUUUGACGGUACCAACAGAAUAAGCACCGGCUAACUUCGUG